rnacentral:rRNA from 1 species
AUGCAAGUCGAGCGGAACGACUUAACUGAACCUUCGGGGAACGUUAAGGGCGUCGAGCGGCGGACGGGUGAGUAAUGCCUGGGAAAUUGCCCUGAUGUGGGGGAUAACCAUUGGAAACGAUGGCUAAUACCGCAUAAUAGCUUCGGCUCAAAGAGGGGGACCUUCGGGCCUCUCGCGUCAGGAUAUGCCCAGGUGGGAUUAGCUAGUUGGUGAGGUAAGGGCUCACCAAGGCGACGAUCCCUAGCUGGUCUGAGAGGAUGAUCAGCCACACUGGAACUGAGACACGGUCCAGACUCCUACGGGAGGCAGCAGUGGGGAAUAUUGCACAAUGGGCGCAAGCCUGAUGCAGCCAUGCCGCGUGUAUGAAGAAGGCCUUCGGGUUGUAAAGUACUUUCAGCAGUGAGGAAGGGGUGUACGUUAAUAGCGUGCAUCUUUGACGUUAGCUGCAGAAGAAGCACCGGCUAACUCCGUGCCAGCAGCCGCGGUAAUACGGAGGGUGCGAGCGUUAAUCGGAAUUACUGGGCGUAAAGCGCAUGCAGGUGGUGAGUUAAGUCAGAUGUGAAAGCCCGGGGCUCAACCUCGGAAUUGCAUUUGAAACUGGCUCACUAGAGUACUGUAGAGGGGGGUAGAAUUUCAGGUGUAGCGGUGAAAUGCGUAGAGAUCUGAAGGAAUACCAGUGGCGAAGGCGGCCCCCUGGACAGAUACUGACACUCAGAUGCGAAAGCGUGGGGAGCAAACAGGAUUAGAUACCCUGGUAGUCCACGCCGUAAACGAUGUCUACUUGGAGGUUGUGGCCUUGAGCCGUGGCUUUCGGAGCUAACGCGUUAAGUAGACCGCCUGGGGAGUACGGUCGCAAGAUUAAAACUCAAAUGAAUUUGACGGGGGCCCGCCACAAGCGGUGGAGCAUGUGGUUUAUUCGAUGCAACGCGAGACCUUACUACUCUUGACAUCCAGGAGACCUUUCCAGAGAUGAAUGGUGCUCGGAACUCUGAAAAGUGCUGCAUGCCUGUCGUCAGCUCGUGUUGUGAAAUGUAGGGUUAAGUAGCACGAGGCAACCCUCUCUGUUGCAGCGAGUAGUGUCGACCAGGGACUGCCGGUAUUAACCG